rnacentral:hammerhead_ribozyme from 1 species
AUCCAGCAGACAAAUCCUAAAUAGGACGAAACACGCUUCCUGGAU